AACGCUAGCUACAGGCUUAACACAUGCAAGUCGAGGGGCAGCAUGGUCUUAGCUUGCUAAGGCCGAUGGCGACCGGCGCACGGGUGAGUAACACGUAUCCAACCUGCCGUCUACUCUUGGACAGCCUUCUGAAAGGAAGAUUAAUACAAGAUGGCAUCAUGAGUCCGCAUGUUCACAUGAUUAAAGGUAUUCUGGUAGACGAUGGGGAUGCGUUCCAUUAGAUAGUAGGCGGGGUAACGGCCCACCUAGUCUUCGAUGGAUAGGGGUUCUGAGAGGAAGGUCCCCCACAUUGGAACUGAGACACGGUCCAAACUCCUACGGGAGGCAGCAGUGAGGAAUAUUGGUCAAUGGACGCAGGCCUGAACCAGCCAAGUAGCGUGAAGGAUGACUGCCCUAUGGGUUGUAAACUUCUUUUAUAAAGGAAUAAAGUCGGGUAUGCAUACCCGUUUGCAUGUACUUUAUGAAUAAGGAUCGGCUAACUCCGUGCCAGCAGCCGCGGUAAUACGGAGGAUCCGAGCGUUAUCCGGAUUUAUUGGGUUUAAAGGGAGCGUAGAUGGAUGUUUAAGUCAGUUGUGAAAGUUUGCGGCUCAACCGUAAAAUUGCAGUUGAUACUGGAUAUCUUGAGUGCAGUUGAGGCAGGCGGAAUUCGUGGUGUAGCGGUGAAAUGCUUAGAUAUCACGAAGAACUCCGAUUG
rnacentral:rRNA from 1 species